UACGGAGGGGGCUAGCGUUGUUCGGAAUUACUGGGCGUAAAGCGCGCGUAGGCGGACCUGCAAGUCGGGGGUGAAAGCCCGAGGCUCAACCUCGGAACUGCCUUCGAUACUGCGGGUCUCGAGUCCGGGAGAGGUGAGUGGAAUUCCCGGUGUAGCGGUGAAAUGCGCAGAUAUCAGGAGGAACACCGGUGGCGAAGGCGACUACCUGGCCUGUUCUUGACGCUGAGGCGCGAAAGCUAGGGGAGCAAACGGG
rnacentral:rRNA from 1 species